UCUCGCUCAGAUUGAACGCUGGCGGCAGGCCUAACACAUGCAAGUCGAGCGGUAGCACAGAGAGCUUGCUCUCGGGUGACGAGCGGCGGACGGGUGAGUAAUGUCUGGGAAACUGCCUGAUGGAGGGGGAUAACUACUGGAAACGGUAGCUAAUACCGCAUAACGUCGCAAGACCAAAGUGGGGGACCUUCGGGCCUCAUGCCAUCAGAUGUGCCCAGAUGGGAUUAGCUAGUAGGUGGGGUAACGGCUCACCUAGGCGACGAUCCCUAGCUGGUCUGAGAGGAUGACCAGCCACACUGGAACUGAGACACGGUCCAGACUCCUACGGGAGGCAGCAGUGGGGAAUAUUGCACAAUGGGCGCAAGCCUGAUGCAGCCAUGCCGCGUGUGUGAAGAAGGCCUUCGGGUUGUAAAGCACUUUCAGCGGGGAGGAAGGCGUUAAGGUUAAUAACCUCAUCGAUUGACGUUACCCGCAGAAGAAGCACCGGCUAACUCCGUGCCAGCAGCCGCGGUAAUACGGAGGGUGCAAGCGUUAAUCGGAAUUACUGGGCGUAAAGCGCACGCAGGCGGUCUGUCAAGUCGGAUGUGAAAUCCCCGGGCUCAACCUGGGAACUGCAUUCGAAACUGGCAGGCUAGAGUCUUGUAGAGGGGGGUAGAAUUCCAGGUGUAGCGGUGAAAUGCGUAGAGAUCUGGAGGAAUACCGGUGGCGAAGGCGGCCCCCUGGACAAAGACUGACGCUCAGGUGCGAAAGCGUGGGGAGCAAACAGGAUUAGAUACCCUGGUAGUCCACGCCGUAAACGAUGUCGAUUUGGAGGUUGUGCCCUUGAGGCGUGGCUUCCGGAGCUAACGCGUUAAAUCGACCGCCUGGGGAGUACGGCCGCAAGGUUAAAACUCAAAUGAAUUGACGGGGGCCCGCACAAGCGGUGGAGCAUGUGGUUUAAUUCGAUGCAACGCGAAGAACCUUACCUGGUCUUGACAUCCACAGAACUUUCCAGAGAUGGAUUGGUGCCUUCGGGAACUGUGAGACAGGUGCUGCAUGGCUGUCGUCAGCUCGUGUUGUGAAAUGUUGGGUUAAGUCCCGCAACGAGCGCAACCCUUAUCCUUUGUUGCCAGCGGUCCGGCCGGGAACUCAAAGGAGACUGCCAGUGAUAAACUGGAGGAAGGUGGGGAUGACGUCAAGUCAUCAUGGCCCUUACGACCAGGGCUACACACGUGCUACAAUGGCAUAUACAAAGAGAAGCGACCUCGCGAGAGCAAGCGGACCUCAUAAAGUAUGUCGUAGUCCGGAUUGGAGUCUGCAACUCGACUCCAUGAAGUCGGAAUCGCUAGUAAUCGUAGAUCAGAAUGCUACGGUGAAUACGUUCCCGGGCCUUGUACACACCGCCCGUCACACCAUGGGAGUGGGUUGCAAAAGAAGUAGGUAGCUUAACCUUCGGGAGGGCGCUUACCACUUUGUGAUUCAUGACUGGGGUGAAGUCGUAACAGGGAAAC
rnacentral:rRNA from 1 species